AGCCAAACAGCUCGCCGUGAGGAAUCUACACUCACCCACUCCCAUCCCAUCCCAUCAUCCCGACAGAAUUAGUGUUCAGCAACAAGAAGCCAGGCUGUACCUUGAAGUCAGACAAUGAGGAGCGCAGAGGCCCAAGCACACCAAUGCUCUUCUUGAUUUCCACCAAACAGAGCUCUUCCAUUUGGAACACUGUUUCCACGU
rnacentral:lncRNA from 1 species